GCUGGACCAUUUACAACGACCCAUGGCCCAAGAACACAGCCCAAACCACACGGAGAUGGUUUUAUGAAGUUCUUAAAGUUACAGAACGAUGAGUCAUAAAUCAAGGUGUUUUCCAAAUACUUCGUUGGGGAUCUCAGUGUGCUUCAUGAACAAACGGGUCAGGUACCAGGGAAAGAGAAUGGAGGUCCAAUGGAACACCUCACCCAAUCCCGUAGCCUCAGAGAAAUGAUGAGCGCUUAUCAGAAGUAGCCACUGCUGGGCUGAUCCAUGUGAAAACCUACAAUGGAAAGAUUCCCACCUGCCUAUACCUGGAUUACUUCUAUCAAUAUUGCUAAUCUUUCCCACAAUCAAGGGCUUGGGCACACAAUAAAUUAUCUUAUAAACACAA